GCUUGCACUGUGUUGAGAGUGGCGAACGGGUGAGUAACACGUAGGUGAUCUACCCUUGAGGGCAGGGAUAGCUUGGGGAAACACAGGGUAAUACCUGAUGAGACCUACAGUCUACGGGCUGUAGGGGAAAGGCGCGAUGAGCGCCCCCUUAGGAUGAGCCUGCGGUCCAUUAGCUUGUUGGUGGGGUAAGGGCCUACCAAGGCGACGAUGGAUAGCCGACCUGAGAGGGUGACCGGUCACACUGGGACUGAGACACGGGCCAGAGUCCUACGGGAGGCAGCAGCUAAGAAUCGGGCGCAGUGGGGGAAACCCUGACGGAGCGACGCCGCGUGGACGAAGAAGGCCAGAAGGUUGUAAAGUCCUUUUGCAGAUGAAGAAUAAGGUGAGGAGGGAAUGCCUCAUCGAUGACGUUAGUUUGUGAAUAAGCCCCGGCUAAUUACGUGCCAGCAGCCGCGGUAACACGUAAGGGGCGAGCGUUGUUCGGAAUUAUUGGGCGUAAAGGGCGUGUAGGCGGACUGGUAAGUCUGGUGUGUAAGGCUACGGCUUAACCGUAGUUGUGCGCUGGAAACUGCCGGGCUAGAGUCCGGAAGGGGGAGGUAGAAUUCCUGGUGUAGGGGUGAAAUCUGUAGAUAUCAGGAAGAAUACCAGUGGCGAAGGCGAACUCCUGGUCUUGGACUGACGCUGAGGCGCGAAAGCGUGGGGAGCGAACAGGA
rnacentral:rRNA from 1 species